AUUGAACGCUGGCGGCAUGCCUUACACAUGCAAGUCGAACGGCAGCACGGGAGCAAUCCUGGUGGCGAGUGGCGAACGGGUGAGUAAUAUAUCGGAACGUGCCCAGUCGUGGGGAUAACGUAGCGAAAGCUACGCUAAUACCGCAUACGAUCUAUGGAUGAAAGCGGGGGAUCGCAAGACCUCGCGCGAUUGGAGCGGCCGAUAUCAGAUUAGGUAGUUGGUGAGGUAAAGGCUCACCAAGCCGACGAUCUGUAGCUGGUCUGAGAGGGCGACCAGCCACACUGGGACUGAGACACGGCCCAGACUCCUACGGGAGGCAGCAGUGGGGAAUUUUGGACAAUGGGCGCAAGCCUGAUCCAGCAAUGCCGCGUGCAGGAUGAAGGCCUCGGUUGUAACGUAGUACUUUUGUUACGGUAACGUAAACGGGUACGG
rnacentral:rRNA from 1 species